AGCAGUAGCCGCGGGAAUACGUAGGUGGCAAGCGUUGUCCGGAAUUAUUGGGCGUAAAGGGCUCGCAGGCGGUUUCUUAAGUCUGAUGUGAAAGCCCCCGGCUCAACCGGGGAGGGUCAUUGGAAACUGGGAAACUUGAGUGCAGAAGAGGAGAGUGGAAUUCCACGUGUAGCGGUGAAAUGCGCAGAGAUGUGGAGGAACACCAGUGGCGAAGGCGACUCUCUGGUCUGUAACUGACGCUGAGGAGCGAAAGCGUGGGGGGCGAACAGGAUUAGAUACCCCCGUAGUCCCUGUCUCUUAUAC
rnacentral:rRNA from 1 species